rnacentral:rRNA from 1 species
AGAUUAAGUUAUUAAGGGCGCACGGUGGAUGCCUUGGCACUAGAAGCCGAUGAAGGACGUUACUAACGACGAUAUGCUUUGGGUAGCUGUAAGUAAGCGUUGAUCCAGAGAUUUCCGAAUGGGGGAACCCAGCAUGAGUUAUGUCAUGUUAUCGACAUGUGAAUUCAUAGCAUGUCAGAAGGCAGACCCGGAGAACUGAAACAUCUUAGUACCCGGAGGAAGAGAAAGAAAAAUCGAUUCCCUGAGUAGCGGCGAGCGAAACGGGAAGAGCCCAAACCAACAAGCUUGCUUGUUGGGGUUGUAGGACACUCUAUACGGAGUUACAAAAGAACAUGUUAGACGAAUCAUCUGGAAAGAUGAAUCAAAGAAGGUAAUAAUCCUGUAGUCGAAAACAUAUUCUCUCUUGAGUGGAUCCUGAGUACGACGGAGCACGUGAAAUUCCGUCGGAAUCUGGGAGGACCAUCUCCUAAGGCUAAAUACUCUCUAGUGACCGAUAGUGAACCAGUACCGUGAGGGAAAGGUGAAAAGUACCCCGGAAGGGGAGUGAAAGAGAACUUGAAACCGUGUGCUUACAAGUAGUCAGAGCCCGUUAAUGGGUGAUGGCGUGCCUUUUGUAGAAUGAACCGGCGAGUUACGAUCUGAUGCAAGGUUAAGCAGCAAAUGUGGAGCCGCAGCGAAAGCGAGUCUGAAUAGGGCGUUGAGUAUUUGGUCGUAGACCCGAAACCAGGUGAUCUACCCUUGGUCAGGUUGAAGUUCAGGUAACACUGAAUGGAGGACCGAACCGACUUACGUUGAAAAGUGAGCGGAUGAACUGAGGGUAGCGGAGAAAUUCCAAUCGAACUUGGAGAUAGCUGGUUCUCUCCGAAAUAGCUUUAGGGCUAGCCUCAAGUGAUGAUUAUUGGAGGUAGAGCACUGUUUGGACGAGGGCCCCUCUCGGGUUACCGAAUUCAGACAAACUCCGAAUGCCAAUUAAUUUAACUUGGGAGUCAGAACAUGGGUGAUAAGGUCCGUGUUCGAAAGGGAAACAGCCCAGACCACCAGCUAAGGUCCCAAAAUAUAUGUUAAGUGGAAAAGGAUGUGGCGUUGCCCAGACAACUAGGAUGUUGGCUUAGAAGCAGCCAUCAUUUAAAGAGUGCGUAAUAGCUCACUAGUCGAGUGACACUGCGCCGAAAAUGUACCGGGGCUAAACAUAUUACCGAAGCUGUGGAUUGUCCUUUGGACAAUGGUAGGAGAGCGUUCUAAGGGCGUCGAAGCAUGAUCGCAAGGACAUGUGGAGCGCUUAGAAGUGAGAAUGCCGGUGUGAGUAGCGAAAGACGGGUGAGAAUCCCGUCCACCGAUUGACUAAGGUUUCCAGAGGAAGGCUCGUCCGCUCUGGGUUAGUCGGGUCCUAAGCUGAGGCCGACAGGCGUAGGCGAUGGAUAACAGGUUGAUAUUCCUGUACCACCUAGUAUCGUUUUAAUCGAUGGGGGACGCAGUAGGAUAGGCGAAGCGUGCUGUUGGAGUGCACGUCCAAGCAGUAAGGCUGAGUGUUAGGCAAAUCCGGCACUCAUAAGGCUGAGCUGUGAUGGGGAGAGGAAAUUGUUUCCUCGAGUCGUUGAUUUCACACUGCCGAGAAAAGCCUCUAGAUAGAUAACAGGUGCCCGUACCGCAAACCGACACAGGUAGUCAAGAUGAGAAUUCUAAGGUGAGCGAGCGAACUCUCGUUAAGGAACUCGGCAAAAUGACCCCGUAACUUCGGGAGAAGGGGUGCUCUUUAGGGUUCACGCCCAGAAGAGCCGCAGUGAAUAGGCCCAAGCGACUGUUUAUCAAAAACACAGGUCUCUGCUAAACCGUAAGGUGAUGUAUAGGGGCUGACGCCUGCCCGGUGCUGGAAGGUUAAGAGGAGUGGUUAGCUUCUGCGAAGCUACGAAUCGAAGCCCCAGUAAACGGCGGCCGUAACUAUAACGGUCCUAAGGUAGCGAAAUUCCUUGUCGGGUAAGUUCCGACCCGCACGAAAGGCGUAACGAUUUGGGCACUGUCUCAACGAGAGACUCGGUGAAAUCAUAGUACCUGUGAAGAUGCAGGUUACCCGCGACAGGACGGAAAGACCCCGUGGAGCUUUACUGUAGCCUGAUAUUGAAAUUCGGCACAGCUUGUACAGGAUAGGUAGGAGCCUUUGAAACGUGAGCGCUAGCUUACGUGGAGGCGUUGGUGGGAUACUACCCUAGCUGUGUUGGCUUUCUAACCCGCACCACUUAUCAUGGUGGGAGACAGUGUCAGGCGGGCAGUUUGACUGGGGCGGUCGCCUCCUAAAAGGUAACGGAGGCGCUCAAAGGUUCCCUCAGAAUGGUUGGAAAUCAUUCAUAGAGUGUAAAGGCAUAAGGGAGCUUGACUGCGAGACCUACAAGUCGAGCAGGGUCGAAAGACGGACUUAGUGAUCCGGUGGUUCCGCAUGGAAGGGCCAUCGCUCAACGGAUAAAAGCUACCCCGGGGAUAACAGGCUUAUCUCCCCAAGAGUUCACAUCGACGGGGAGGUUUGGCACCUCGAUGUCGGCUCAUCGCAUCCUGGGGCUGUAGUCGGUCCCAAGGGUUGGGCUGUUCGCCCAUUAAAGCGGUACGCGAGCUGGGUUCAGAACGUCGUGAGACAGUUCGGUCCCUAUCCGUCGUGGGCGUAGGAAAUUUGAGAGGAGCUGUCCUUAGUACGAGAGGACCGGGAUGGACAUACCUCUGGUGUACCAGUUGUCGUGCCAACGGCAUAGCUGGGUAGCUAUGUAUGGACGGGAUAAGUGCUGAAAGCAUCUAAGCAUGAAGCCCCCCUCAAGAUGAGAUUUCCCAACUUCGGUUAUAAGAUCCCUCGAAGAUGACGAGGUUAAUAGGUUCGAGGUGGAAGCGUGGUGACACGUGGAGCUGACGAAUACUAAUCGAUCGAAGACUUAAUCAAUUUUUAAA